CGACUGGAAUCUCAACGUUUCAAGAGCGAGGGAAAAAGGCUCAUAUUCACCGUCCCUCUCAACUUUCGAAAUAGUCCGAAGUCAUCCGAAGCGCUGGGUUCACAUACGCGCGGAUCGUGGAGUUGUGUAUAUGCAUGGUGGGGGAAAUUCUCGAUACUCCGGCCAUUAACUUUAGCAUCACUGAAUAGAGUACGGACCGAAUGAUAACUAUCAAAACUUCCUCAUUGUACCGCAAACGGCGCUGCAGUCGGAAAUCUUCGCAUCUUACAACACUGGCUUCGCUCCUAUUGACUAGGUGUUGACGAAAUAAUUUUUUGAAUUCGUUGAAGAAGGAUAAGAACAAGACUCGACCGUUUUUGGCAGAUUCAUGAUAUGAUAUUACGAUAUCUCAGUUGUACGUGGACCGGUUUUAUUGAUUUUGGUUUUAUUCGAAAGCUUAUAUGCGGUUUACAUAAGAAAAAAAAAAUAUAUACAUGUCGAAUUGAGUAACCUCCUCCUUUUCGAAAUCAGUUAAAAAAUACCUUUAAAUUUAGAAAAUAUUGUAGGCGUGACAAGAUAUUAAUGAAAAAAGUUUCAGAAUAGUUUACAAGCAAAAGAUACGCGAUAGCGCCAACGCCAGUAUACGCAGUAGCGUAUGAUUUUUCAUGUACUUGGCGUCGAGACGCUACCGCGUUUGUAAAUAUAAUUUUAUAAAACUAAUUCAAUAAUAUUAAUACAUUGUUUUAUCAUUUAUAUUAUCAGGUGUAAUCAACCGUUUUUAUUGACCAAGGUCUUGUUCUAUACAAGAGAUCUAACAAACAUAGAUGCAUUCCAUUCUUGCCUCGUGUCGGUAUUUUGAGCGGGGCCUUCUCCUGAUAGCGGUUUAUAUACUUAACAAAUCAUUACUAUCAUACUAAUCUAUCGCAUACUAUUGCCACACUAUUGCAAUGCUCUCGUGCUACCUAACGAACCUAAACUGAUCUGAACUCACCUAAACCUAAGUGAACCUAAGUGACCUAAGUACUUGACCUAUCAUCUACGAUCGCUGUACCUAAUUUACUUCUGGAGGAACAGAUCGCAAAUCUGCAGUUGAAGACGUUAAACUACUGUAUGUUUUCAUCUGAUGCGCAGUUUGGCAAAAUCCAAAGUCCACAACUCAUCAUUCUUAUCAGAAUGAAAUCCAACAAAUGGAGUGGCUACAGCAUCAGCUACUUGACCGAUAAGCAAGACUACCCCAGCCAGUGUUGCAUUAAAUCCCAAUAUCAAAUGAAAAUAUACUAA